AUUGAACGCUGGCGGCAGGCUUAACACAUGCAAGUCGAGCGGGGUGAUGGUGCUUGCACUAUCACUUAGCGGCGGACGGGUGAGUAAUGCUUAGGAAUCUGCCUAUUAGUGGGGGACAACAUCUCGAAAGGGAUGCUAAUACCGCAUACGUCCUACGGGAGAAAGCAGGGGAUCACUUGUGACCUUGCGCUAAUAGAUGAGCCUAAGCCGGAUUAGCUAGUUGGUGGGGUAAAGGCCUACCAAGGCGACGAUCUGUAGCGGGUCUGAGAGGGUGAUCCGCCACACUGGGACUGGGACACGGCCCAGACUCCUACGGGAGGCAGCAGUGGGGAAUAUUGGACAAUGGGGGGAACCCUGAUCCAGCCAUGCCGCGUGUGUGAAGAAGGCCUUAUGGUUGUAAAGCACUUUAAGCGAGGAGGAGGCUCUUUUGGUUAAUACCCAGAAUGAGUGGACGUUACUCGCAGAAUAAGCACCGGCUAACUCUGUGCCAGCCGCCGCCGUAA
rnacentral:rRNA from 1 species